rnacentral:rRNA from 1 species
UACGGAGGAUGCGAGCGUUAUCCGGAUUUAUUGGGUUUAAAGGGAGCGCAGGCGGCCUGUUAAGUCAGCGGUAAAAGCCCGGGGCUCAACCCCGGCGAGCCGUUGAAACUGGCAGUCUCGAGUUGGAGAGAAGUAUGCGGAAUGCGCGGUGUAGCGGUGAAAUGCAUAGAUAUCGCGCAGAACUCCGAUUGCGAAGGCAGCCUACCGGCGCGCAACUGACGCUCAUGCACGAAAGCGUGGGUAUCGAACAGG